GCAGUGGUGGUCCAGUGGUAGAACUCUCUCCUCCCAUGCAGGAGACCUGGGUUCGAUUCCUAGCCAAUGCA
rnacentral:tRNA from 1 species